UACGUAGGGCGCAAGCGUUGUCCGGAAUUAUUGGGCGUAAAGAGCUCGUAGGCGGCUUGUCACGUCGAUUGUGAAAGCCCGAGGCUUAACCUCGGGUCUGCAGUCGAUACGGGCUAGCUAGAGUGUGGUAGGGGAGAUCGGAAUUCCUGGUGUAGCGGUGAAAUGCGCAGAUAUCAGGAGGAACACCGGUGGCGAAGGCGGUUCUCUGGGCAUUACCUGACGCUGAGGAGCGAAAGUGUGGGGAGCGAACAGG
rnacentral:rRNA from 1 species